UAGAAUAGAAUAGAAUAGAAUAGAAUAGAAUAGAAUAGAAUAGAAUAGAAUAGAAUAGAAUCUGUUUUUAUACAUGAGAACUCUGCUAAAUAUCCACUUGGACUAAAGUUUUCCACACUGGGUUUGUCUUAGACCAAUUAGUUUAUUUAAAAAAAACAUUAUUUAGACUCAGGCCUUCAUAUGUGCAAGUGAUACCUAAAACAUGUGCCAUACGUCUCUAAAUCCAAUAGAUACCAGUUGUAUUUUAAUUGCUGCACUUUAUUUACUUAUUUGCUAAUACAUGUAGAUCCAGGGUGUAAAUUUAUGGAGAGGUAUGCCUCUCAAUACUGUUGUGAAAUCUGUUUGGUGAUUUAAGUUCUCAAAGAGAUUACCAUGGUGUUGAAGUAAGGCUGCUCAGCAUAUUCCACUGUGAGCACCUGUUGUAAUUGGUUUAUAAUGUUGUUGCUUUCCUGAUGGAAGAACAAUGAGAACCUAGUUGUACAUUUUUCCAUGCUUGUUUAUCUUCUUCAGACUGGGUGUUUUUAAAUGUUAUUUAGUUUUGGAACAAGCACUUCAACGUGAGCCAACUUUGUGCCCUUGCCAUAAUGAAGGCUAAUGGAAUCCUGGGUUGCAUUAGGCUCGGUGUUGCCAGCAGGUCAAGAGAGGUAAUUCUCACCAUUUGAAUAUCAGCAGUGUGUUUGGAUCAAGGCUCUCUAGAGCAAGAAAAACAUGAAGCUGCUGGAGAGGAUCCAAAGGAGUACCACAAGCAUAAAGAAGGGACUAGAGAACCUCUCUUAUGAGGAAAGGCUAACAGAGCUUGGACAGUUCAUGCUCGAGGAGGCUCGAGGGGAAUGAGAUCAACAGUGUCUACAAAUACACAAAGAGGACAGCCAGGUGUUUUUCAGUGGUGCCCAGUAAGAGUACAAGAGGGAAUGAGCACAAACAGGAACACAGGAUAUUCUCUCUGAACACCAGGAAGCACUUCUUUACUGUGUGGGACCCAGAGUGCUGCUGCAGUUUGCUCAGAAAAGUGGUGCAGUUUCCUUGGAGACAGCCAAAAGGAACCAGGACAUGUGCCUGGACAGCCUGAUCUGGGCGUCCUAGCUGGAGCAGGGAUUGGAGCAGGUGACCUUCAAUGAUCCCUUCCAAGAUCAGCUAUUCUGUGAUUCUUCAAUUAUUUGAGACUCUGCUGGAAGCAGUUGGGUUUGGCUUACGCUCUGCAGUGUGGAGGCAUCAACUUCAUCUCUGGUCCAGACAUGUUUUGCAGAUGUGUGAGUACACGAAUCUAUUUGAGGACAACCAAUCUAGCCAAGAAGCAGAAUGGAUUGGCAAAUGUGAAGCAUCAAACUAAGACAUGCCUGUUGUUUUCUGCCUCAUGUUUCUCCAUGUAGCUCUUCAUUGUGCUGCAAAAACUCAGUCCUGCUACAUUCCCUGAAAUAGGAAUAGUUUCAUAGCAGCCUCUGUGAUUUGGAUAUUUGUUUUCUAAGGCUCCUCUGGAAGAAUAGGAUGAAAGGAUGCAACCUUACAAAUCUUUCUUCAUUCCAAAUCUGCCAUUUUCUGUAACUCUGUGUUAGACAGAGCCUAGCCAUACGGCUGCUCUUCUUCCCUCUUACCCUGAAGGGGAUCAUCUAUUUUCAGCUGUGUGGAAGAGAUACCCACAGGCAAAACGGCAACAGCUGCAAGCCUGGGGAGCAUAAGGUAUUGUGGUGACUGUAGAAAAGUGGGGGAGUGCAAGUAAUGCUGCUGGGAAGAGGCAUGUUCUGAAGGACCAGAAGGAAGUGAAAAAGGUUGGAUUUGGAAGUAGGACUGAGUGCAUCAAGGCAAGCCAUGGUCCAGCUGUGCUCAGAAAAUCCUGCUCAGAGAGGUAGGACUGAGGAGUGUUAUUCACAUCCUAAUAAGAUAAGUGUGAUCCGAAGAAUGAUGUGAAAACUCGUCCAGUUGCCCAGAUUUCCAGAAAGGAGCAUAGUUCUGCUAUAAAGCACUCCUGGAGGCACAGCAAUAGGGCAUGCCUUCCUCAGGAGCUGUACAUGCCUCAGUGGUGGGAAUCCAGGCAAGGUGGGAUGCCUUGAUGGAUGCGAGAGGGCUGCUGCCUCACAGCAGUGGGAGGGGAAUGGCAAGAAACAGUAUAAAGUCCUUUGUUCUGUUUGGAAAAUCUUAAUUCCCAGAUUUGAAGCAAUCAUUUUAAUAUUCAGACAAAUAGAAAUUUUGUACUUAGAAAGCGUAGACAUAGAUUAAAAUUACCCACAGACUAUAAUUAUAACUCUUGCCCUCUGUUCAGAUUAAUAUGCUUCCAAUGGGUAGAAAAGUGGCACCUGUUGUAAAAACAUUGUUCUAAUCUUACGUGCAAAGAGCUGCACAGCUCACAGAAGUCUUGGCAGACAAAAGUGAGUAGACAGAAUCUAUGGACAGAUAUUUCUUAUGCUGAGGAUUGGUGUUAAUUCUCUUCUUUUUCAAUUGGAGGGGAACUUGAAGCUGUGGUGUAAAUGGGAAGGACAUGGCAAGAGGAGAAGAAGGCGGCUUCCUUUUCCUCCUGCAUAGUAAGGCAGGUGGAAGGCAAACAUCAUCCCAUGUCUGGACCACAGCACCUUGCAUGCUCCCACAGGAUAGCCUGUAUUUCUUUCUGUAUUUUGGGGAGGAUUGGCUGUCCCCCACCAGGGGUGAUGAAGCAGGCAUGAUUCUUCUUCUUGUUGAGUGGACCUCGGUAAAAUCACCCUGCAGGCUCCGUGAAAGCAAAUGAAGCAGCACUCAUCUAGGUACUUCUGCAGCUCAGCCUCCUCACAGCAUCCAAGGUCUUCUGUGAUAAACAGCCAAAUCAGAAAGAUGAGAUUUCAACAUAGGCUCUCACGCAGGGAAGAACAUGGGUCAUAUGAAUCUUUCACUAGAGCAAGUUCCAUUAUCUUUGCUCAGUCAGGAUGAAGGAGAAAGUGAAACUCUGACAUUGCCAGUGUUAUGCAGAUUGUGUUCUCAUAGAUUUUUCUUUUGAGAGUGGAUUGACUUGCCAAACCUCUGAAGUGACAUGUGAUUUGGAGAUAAAUUUCCAUAUGCUGUUUAAACCUCGCUACUAUCACAGUUCACUUGUCAUUUGUACAAAGAAUGUACAUUAACUGGAAAUUUCACCAAUGUGUAGAGUUACUACCCUCUAGAGAUUACCUCCCUGCAGAUCUUUCUUCCCAGUCAACUUUAACUCUGUUGCAGUGACAGAUAUAACAGCUAACCUGGAGGCUACUUAAUGGGAUUUUUGAAGUUCUCGAUAUUUCUGAUACAUUUAUGUUAUAAAAACAAAAUGCUUUGUCUGGGCAAUUGCUCCUGGUGCCUUUGAGCCUGAGUGCUCACCUUCACAUCGUUCUUGUUAACACUCUCAUUUCACCUUUCUCAGCUGUUCGGUAAAAGCAUUUACUAUGUCUUGACCUAAUUUGAUCUUGAUUUUACGUUAAGGUUGAUUUGGAUAAUGCAGGAUUCCUUUUGCUUAAGUUUGACUGGAUGUUCUAACAAUAAUAAUACUGAAUGGCAAAAUGAAUAUUUUCUUGGAUGGGUUCUUGGUAAUAUUGUAUGUCUCCUAGAAAAGAAGGGACAGUUGUUUUGCCUGAAGCAAUAGAGAUCAUCACAGAAAGAUUCACUUGAACAACCUGAAAGUCCUGGAUGUAUUUCAAGGGUGAUUGUUUUUAUGAUCAUGAGCUUGCUGGCACUUCCUGGAUUUAUGUCUAUUAAUGUAUUGGACUUGGUAUUUUUCUGGUUUGCUUUUAUGACUGACAGAGUGAGACAGGUGUGCUGUGUGGUCUGCCAAAAGGAAAGAAAAUCAAUAUUUCAGCAUUUAAUUAUGAUUGUUUACUUAAAGCUACUUUUGACCCCCUGUGCCCUGGCUUUCCUCUCUAGAAGUACAAGCAUAGGUUUUUAACGUACAAAUACAGAUUUCCCCUGAAAGAUUAUACUUCUAACAAGCAGUUUGAUUGUUGCGCUUGCUUUUAUUUUUCUCCCUCAGCAAAUGUUUAGCACCAAUAUUGUCUCAUUUCUGUCCCAGUAUUUCUAAUUAGAUUGUGAUUUCUCUUGUGAAGAAGCUACUUUGUGCAUACAGUGCUAAAGUCUUGGGUAUUAGGAAGAGGUGGGAGUAUGUGACACUAUUUAGUUUUGAGGCUGUAGCUGGUAUAAUAAUAAUAACAAUAACAUGGACAAUUACCAGAAUUUCACAACCACUGAAUGACAGCUUCCCACCUUGAGUCCCUAAAUGCAAUUUAAAAAGAGCUAGAUCUGAUUCUCUUGCAGACACAGAACAAUUAGAAAGUAAUAUUAAUGCCAGGACCUUUCAUUUUGCUAGUUUGAGACUCUAAAGGCAUUUUGAGCUCUCCAUGUAAAUGGCUCAAUUAUUUCCUGCCGUGUAUUUAUGGCCAGGUGAUUAUUAGCAGUGAAUUUUAUUUAUCUUGAUUACAUGCACGGAAGAAGCCCUGUUCACGUGAUUGUUGUGGGGAUAAGAAACAGACACCUGAGUACUCUCAGGUAGUCAAUUUAAUCACAAAAAGUCUUUGCACUGAAGAGUAAGGGCAUUUCUCACCAAAUGACUGUGUGGAAAGAGUUGGCAGAGGAGCUUUUCAGAAGAUAGUUGAUCUGAAAUAGACACCAAGGCUAGUGGCAGUCCUAAUACCAAUGUCCUACCUGCAUUUACACCAACCGUGUCAGAACCAUUCCUAAUCUACUGACUGGAAAACAAGAGGAAAGCUGGUGUAGAGGAGUGCCCUAGAAAGCAAGUUCCCUGGGAAGGACCUUCACAGGUUAUGGUGAAGAGUAAAGGACAUAAAGCAGGUACACAACUUUCCAGGGUUUAAUCAGGCUCUGUGUACUGCUAUGCCUACAUGGGAGUAAGAUCUCAUGUCUUCCAGGCUACAGACCUCCCACCAGACUGCCGGUCUUUGUUUCAUUGCAUCUUGUCCUGACUGUCUAUUCCCUUAUGUAGUCAACAGUAUUAUUUCCAAGCCUUUUUACGCAAGGAUGUUUUGAAUAAAAGAUAAUGUGGUGGUAAUGUACCCACAAAGAUGGUAACUGGAUGGGCUUUGACAUCUCAAAGGACAUGGUUGCAUGCAUCCAUUUGCUUGGUGAGGUAAAGCAUGGAGUAAUGCUCUGUACUGUGCACUACUUGAUAGGAUAUCUCUGUCUUUUAUGCCAGAAGGAAGUGGGAGGUGAGGAUGUCUGCAGAAGGCAAGCUGAGGAGAAACAAUAACCAGAAAUCCUCAAUGGUAGUCGCUGAGAAAAGAAAGGUGUCUGUGUGGUUUAACUUGCAAAAAUAUACGUGGGCAGAAGUGCUGGUGAUAGCGAGCAAAGAAAAGGGGAUGGGCAAUGGCAAAUGAAGAAGGCCACAAUGAAGAUGCUCAGAGGAAAAGGCAGAAAUAAAUGAAAAGCUGAAGUCACAUGUGGAUUGUGGGAAAAUCUGUAGCUGAUUUUCAUGAUAGGGAUCUCUAUUGUCUUGCAGUGAUGGUGUUGCACUGGCAGUCAUGUCACAGAAAGUGGGAGGGUUGUGUGGGACUGGUUGAGUGAGAGCAAUACUGUGGGACUGCUGCAUUUCUCUAAGAGAUGGCUAAUCAGAAGAGGGCAAAAAAAGGUGGUUUGCUCGAGGGAGAAACCUUGGAAGACUGCAGAGAAUGAUAAAAUGAUAUGUGUGCCUUGAUGUUGCAGUGUGAGGGAUGCCUCCAUCUGCCAAGGCACCUGCUGCAACAGGGCUAGCUUGAAAGGCAUGCAGGUAGCUGUCAGUCUCCCAGUGGAAGUUGCUUUCCAUGGUCUGGCAGCCUGGGACUCUGGGAUGGGUUGUGUUGAGAGGUAACAAGCCUGUCUGUACAGGAUAGGUGCAUAUUUGACCCACCUGAUACCACACAAUGCAAAACCACCCUUACUGUCUCAGAUUUCCCUCAGGAUUCUGGUGCUGGACUGUCUAAGCUUGGGAGCUAAAGUUCAUAUUUCUGACCAUGAUCUUCAUAAUGAAAAGGAUCUGAGAGACACUGUCAUAUGUGACUUGUUUUGGGGUUGGAUUUGUUUUUUUCUUCACUUUUUUAUUUUUUAUUUUUUCUUCAUAGUGAUAUGGACCACAAAAGUAAAAUUAAGGCAGGGAGAAGCUUCCAGUAAGUCAUUACUGUGCAGUCAUUACCCUUUUUUUCACCCAUGCAACGACUGUUUCCAUGGAGACUGGAGCAAACCAGUGCUAGGAGAGUGCUAUCUGCUGGUUCCUGUUUCCACAGAAACACGAACACUGGAUUACCAGAAAUGAAGUUACUAUUGCCCAGCCAGGCUAACCAAGCAGCACUGCUCAGAAACAAGUUUCCUCCCAGUUUUGUGCUCAGGUGGUCAGUUACGACAAGUCUCAGAGUCGCAGAGAUCAUGACUCUUGCAUGGAUGCGGUGUGCUAAACCCAGAACACUGCAAGCAAAUUUGAAGGCUGUGGUGUGGGAUCACCAAACCCAAGACACCACAUGCUGCAAGCAAGAAAACAUCAGUGGUGCAAUGUGACUAGUAAUUAAUGUUGCAAGGAACAAGUGGUGAUUUCUGUGCAAUCAGACCCUGCCCUAUAUUUGCAGUUCGGGGUCACUCCUGGUAGGCUGUGAGACCAAGUGUAAUUGCCUUCUCUGCAUGCCUAAUAUAUGUGUGCUGUUGGUAAGGCCAGCCAAUCUAAAUACUUCAGGGCUUUCCCCCCCUAUAUGCUUUCUGUAGAACCUAGAGUAGGUAGGGGGUAAGCUGUUCAGUAUUGCUGCUGUAAGUGCUUUUUGAAGGCUAAGCAAAUCACCUGCUUAGAUGGUUGGUGUUUGCCACAGUUAAAAACCUCUCCCUGUACCUGGUAUAACUUCUCAGCUUGUCUUGCUUCUUGACAGAAAAAUAGCUUGAAUUUAGGAAACAGUCAGUUGGCUGAUGUGGACUUCAAGCUGGACAAUUUUGGGAAUAAAAUGUCGUGCACAGUGUUUUCAGGGGCAGUCAGAGACAGUGUUCAUUUAGAUGCAAAUAAAUAAAUAAAUAAACAAAUAAAUAAAUAAAUUAAUUGUUUGGCUUAAUUUCUUAUCAAUCUUUGUACAAAUUGUUUUAUGUCUAAUGGGUAGCUAAGUAGUAACAUUAGUCCCCUACGUAGCUAUAAAUAGAGAAGACUUCCUGUGCCUCUUUUCAGAAGGUUCUGUACACUGACAUUUGUUGAUUCUAUCUAGAAGACACACGUUUUUGGUUGCAAUUACUCUGCUCUUCAGACAAAUGCUAAGAAUAAUGGUCCUGGCACAGCAGAUUGCUGGAGGAAAACCUGAGAAACAAUAUCCUCUCCACCUAACACUGCCUUCCAACAAGAUAUUCAGCUUGAUCCAAUUGUAUUUCUUCAGGAAUAUUAAUAAUAAUAAAAGAUUCAUUUUGGAUUUGGACAUAUGUUUUUAAUGUGCAGGAUCGUUGUUAGUGGUCUUUAAGUUCAUUUUGAGAUAGAACUUAUCUUUCAAGUCUGAUCCUUACCUUCAAAACUCCACUUAAUAUCACAAUCAGAUCAGGUAUUUUGCAAUUCAUUCCAGAGAUGAAGGCCAGAUGAAACAUCCAGCCCAAUCUGCUGCAAGUAGAGAUGAUAUGCUUUCACCUGUUACUGCUGUAUUAGAACCAUAACCUUGUGGAACAAGCAUCCCUCCACCCAAAGAAAAAUACAUUUUCUGAAUUAGAAAGUAUAGGAAUCUAUUACUUUCAGUAAUGUCUUGUCCUAAUGGUUAAUGAUCCUUGCUUUUACAAAUUGAUAUCUGUUUCUAAUUUGUCUGGCACUAACUCCCAGCCAGUGAGCCUACG